GAUCCUGGCUCAGAUUGAACGCUGGCGGCAUGCCUUACACAUGCAAGUCGAACGGUAACAGGUCUUUCGGGAUGCUGACGAGUGGCGAACGGGUGAGUAAUACAUCGGAACGUGCCUAGUAGUGGGGGAUAACUACUCGAAAGAGUGGCUAAUACCGCAUGAGAUCUAUGGAUGAAAGCAGGGGACCUUUGGGCCUUGUGCUACUAGAGCGGCCGAUGGCAGAUUAGGUAGUUGGUGGG
rnacentral:rRNA from 1 species